ACGCUUGUUUACCGUCGUUUCGACGCAGAGCUACACGCUAAGGUCAGUUUACCCAUAAAUAGGUAGAUUAUUUACCCAUAUUUGGGUUUCGUAUCCAUUACCAAUAAUAUGGGUAAAGUUCACCAAUAAAUAUUGGUAAAAUUCACCCAUAUUCUUGAUGAAGUGACUUUACUCAUAUAUGGGUAAAGACUGUUUACCCAUAUUUGGAUGAAAAAAAUAAUAUUUUCGAGAGGCAGCACCGAAAUCGGUAGUUCACUCGGUUCGCCAAGUAUAAAACAAUUGUUUUAGUUAAAUAUUCCCGGAAUUAUUAGAGAACGGUGAUGCAAAUUUGCAAACUAAACAACACCUAGAUGAAGAGGAAGCAGGUGACCUCUGAAUAGAACAAAAUUUCCUUCGGGGAAACAAACAGCCCAGCAAUCCAUCGGAGUGCAAAUAAACCGUGAACGAAUCGUCUAGGACUCCGCUCCCCCUGCUGCCAAAUUUGAAUAGGCCGGCCAUAUGAUGCAAACCGCCCGGAGAAAAAGGAAGUGCCAUGAUUACAGAGCAGUUGAAACCCACCCAGUAUAGAGUGGGAGCGGGAAGGAAACCGCCACAAGUGGCUCAAGUCCGGGCAUUAUUAGAACCAGGGAGGAGUUUGCAUCAAUAUCUGAUUUGUGCAUUUCACUGCCGGUCCUACCCAUUCUGGUCGAGAUCGUGGCCUCAAACGCCCAUACGAGCAAGCGCAAGAUUUAACAAACUCCAUCAGCUGGUGGACCCUCCGGAGCGCAUCGUCCGGAAGAAAGCGGGCGUGCUCCACCAUCAGAAAUCGGUUAGCGGUCCUUUGACCAUUGAGCCGCCGCACGAUCCAGCCUUU